UACGUAGGGAGCAAGCGUUGUCCGGAAUCAUUGGGCGUAAAGCGCGCGUAGGUGGCCAUGUAAGUCCGCUGUGAAAGUCAAAGGCUCAACCUUUGAAAGCCGGUGGAUACUGCAUGGCUAGAGUACGGAAGAGGCGAGUGGAAUUCCUGGUGUAGCGGUGAAAUGCGCAGAUAUCAGGAGGAACACCGAUGGCGAAGGCAGGUCUCUGGGCCGAUACUGACGCUGAGGAGCGAAAGCGUGGGGAGCGAACAGG
rnacentral:rRNA from 1 species